rnacentral:SRP_RNA from 1 species
GCCGGGCAUGGUGGCGUGUGCCUGUAAUCCCAGCUACUCAGGGGCUGAGACAGGAGAAUCGCUUGAACCCAGGAGGCGGAGGAUGCAGUGAGCCGAGAUCACACCACUGCACUCCAGCCUGGGCAACAGAGUGAGACUCUGUCUCAA